UACGUAGGGUGCAAGCGUGUCCGGAAUUAUUGGGCGUAAAGAGCUCGUAGGCGGUUUGUUGCGUCGGCUGUGAAAUCCCGAGGCUCAACCUCGGGUCUGCAGUCGAUACGAGCAAACUAGAGUGUUGCAGGGGAGACUGGAAUUCCUGGUGUAGCGGUGAAAUGCGCAGAUAUCAGGAGGAACACCAAUAGCGAAGGCAGCUCGCUGGGACGUUACUGACACUGAGGCGCGAAAGCGUGGGGGAGCGAACAGG
rnacentral:rRNA from 1 species